rnacentral:rRNA from 1 species
GGAGGGGAGCGAGCGUUGUUCGGAAUUACUGGGCGUAAAGGGCGCGUAGGCGGCCGAGUAAGUCGCGUGUGAAAGGGCCGGGGGCUCAACCCCCGAGCACUGCACGUGAUACUGCUCGGCUAGAGAAAGGUAGAGGCGAGCGGAAUUCCCGGUGUAGCGGUGGAAUGCGUAGAUAUCGGGAAGAACACCUGUGGCGAAGGCGGCUCGCUGGGCCUUUUCUGACGCUGAAGCGCGAAAGCGUGGGGAGCAAACAGGAUUAGAUACCCUGGUAGUCCACGCCGUAAACGAUGGGUACUAGGUGUUGGGAGGCUUGGCCCUCUCAGUGUCGUCGCUAACGCAUUAAGUACCCCGCCUGGGGAGUACGGUCGCAAAGGCUG